UAGGGAAUCUUCGGCAAUGGGGGGAACCCUGACCGAGCAACGCCGCGUGAGUGAAGAAGGUUUUCGGAUCGUAAAGCUCUGUUGUUAAGGAAGAACGAGUGGGAGAAUGGAAAGUUCAUACUGUGACGGUACUUAACCAGAAAGGGACGGCUAACUACGUGCCAGCAGCCGCGGUAAUACGUAGGUCCCGGGCGUUGUCCGGAUUUAUUGGGCGUAAAGCGAGCGCAGGCGGUUAGAUAAGUCUGAAGUUAAAGGCAGUGGCUCAACCAUUGUAGGCUUUGGAAACUGUUUAACUUGAGUGCAGAAGGGGAGAGUGGAAUUCCAUGUGUAGCGGUGAAAUGCGUAGAUAUAUGGGGGAACACCGGUGGCGAAAGCGGCUCUCUGGUCUGUAACUGACGCUGAGGCUCGAAAGCGUGGGGAGCGAACAGG
rnacentral:rRNA from 1 species